AUGCCUGCAUGUCCACGCUUUGCUGCUGGCCUACCAGAAGGAGCUCUGUCUCUGCAGACACUCUCUGCCCUCUGGAACGAUCUUGCAGGGCUUGAAGUUACUCAUUUUGUGCUCCCUUUCUCUCACUGGCAGCUAAUGGGAUGCACAUCAAGAGCAGCGAAGCGCUCAACAUCGCUGCCAAUGUCAUUCACAACAAGUGCAGCAGUGGGGCAGCAGUCCUUCAGUGCAGCCAGCUGGCAUCUGUCAGUAACAACAGCAUCUCCUGCAAUGGCCAGGCUGGGGUGCAGGUGGAGGCAGAGCGCCGGGCAGGGCUGCACCCACAGCACCCAUGGCACCAUCUCCAGGGGAGAGGGCGUAAUGACAGAGAACGAUCUCAUCGGUGAGCACAAGUAUGGCCUUCAGCUGCUCCAGGCAGGAGGAAGACUUAGGUGGGAAGCUCUGCUGCCCUACAUCAAGUGCAAGAGGGUGAAAGCGCGCCGGUGUGCUGUGGGGAGGAUUGCCAGACUGAGCCGGGUCCUGGUCACCCCUGCUCUGAUGGAGAGCUCGUCUGAACAGAGUAAAAACAGGGACGGCGUUUCCUGCUCAGAAGACAAGUGUGAGACGCUGCUGGGGCAGCUGUUGGGGCACCUGACCCUGUGCCGUGCCGAGGUGGACCAGGAGAUCCGCCAUGGGUCUGAGGAGGCUCUGCGUGCCAUCCACAGCGUCUUCGUAGCUCGAGAGAGUUACUCGGUGGCACGUGCCGGUCAAAGUCUGUAUGCGGAGGGGGAAUGGCGGCCCUGCUUCCGGCCCUACUAUCUUUUUGAGGAGAAAAUGGUGCCUGAGAUCCUGCGGAGCAUCUAUGAACACCUGAUGUUGCUCAGCAAGGAGUCGCUCCGGGACAUCGUGAUCCGGACCCUUUUCCAGAUCACACCCUUGGACCCCCAGUGUGUGGUCAGGGCCAUGCUGCGUGACAUCCCAUGGUGUGACAGGCUUUCCACAACCAUGUGGCAGACGAUGGUCUCCGAGCCCAGCCUUGCAAAGCAGGUGGUGUACAACCUGCUGAUGCAGCGGCCACAGACCAAGCACGAUGGCUUUGGCCCAGGCCGCAACUGCGUCCAUCACCUGCAUGUGGGUUUCUGGAUGACGCCUUGCUCACUCCCGGCGCGGCUGCGCUCCCCUCCCCUCCCGUCUGCAGCCCCUCGUCCUCUCUUCCCCUGCCCUCGAUCCCCAAGCUCCCAGCCUGCAGGCUCAGGCAGCAUUGCAGGGGCAGCUGUGCAGUGAGGGCCGUCCCUGGGUGUUUUCUGCAGAUAAUCCGUGCCUUGCACG
ensembl:lncRNA uncharacterized LOC110390868